AACGCAUACUGCGCUCCUGGGUGACUAGGAGCAUGUCUGCCUGAGUGUCAUUUAUACAACUUCACUUGAAAUCCUUAAAACCGAUUUCCCAAGUGGAUAUGCCAGUCUCUUAGCCAUAAGAGUCUAGUGAAAUGUAUUAGAGUAAACUUCUUUUCUUGAAAGAGAAAGGGAAGCAAGUCAAAGGGGGACACUUAUAUGUUCCUUCCUUUUUCUCUUUUCUUUUCUUCUUACCUGUUUCUCAUCCUUGUAAUGAGGUAGAAUAUAUACAACAUUACAACCAUAGGCUAAGGAAUCAGUGUUAACGAAGAUACCAAUGGGAAAAGUUAAAAGGGCAAGGGGCAAGUCGCCUUUCAAUAUUUGACCUCAGGUCAGGCAAGACUACCCGCUGAACUUAA
rnacentral:misc_RNA from 1 species